ACAGUAAACCUGACCUCUGGUGUCGAAAUUUUGGCCUCAUGUGCCACCUGAUACCAUUGCUGUCUGAAGCCAGAGUUUAUCUCCAGCUUUCGGUGACAUUUACAUAGCUGAUUGUUUGUUUUUUCUUUUUGUUCAUAUUUUCCUGUUUUGUUUAUUGAAGACGUCAGGCCCAGUGCUGCUCAUUUUGUCGACCGUGUUUCACUUUGUUUUUACACCCUGGCUGGAAAGAUGACCAUGGAGUGUGUGUUAGCUGUAGUCACCAACAUCAGGCCCUAAGUAACAUACAUUGAUCCACUGAAGGCAUGCACCAUGGAGCAUGAACAGCAAAAACUGCAAGGAUCUCCCUUAACAGGCCUGGGAUGAGCCAUCCUUGAGGCUAGUUACUGGGAACAAACAUUGGAUUAACGAGUAGAACCUCCACACCAACAGCUGUCGUCUGACUGAAAAAAACAUGCUCAUGGAUAAUCCUUGUCCCCCAAGAUAAUGUGAGUUGUUGAUGGUGGCAGUGCGCAAAGUAUAUAAUACAACCAGUCUUCGUCGGUCCAUCAGCCAGCUGCAGAUCAUAGUUUUAACAUAAAAAGAGUUUUCAGCAUGUCAGCACUAGACAGAUGCAUACAUCAUCGGCGACAUGCAGUUGGGAUUUUGGAGGACUGCACGGGAGCAUGGCAGGAGUGGGUGAAAACCCCUUUCCGCUUUAGCAACAACUACUUUCCGUGUGAAACGCUGUAUCAUCAGAUUUACAGCACCGGGCUGAUUCUGAGCAGAGUGCAUUUCCACGUACACCUCAUAAUAUGUCCUACUUCUUCUAUCAACAAUCGUAUCAUCAAUAAACACUUCUAA